AACGAACGCUGGCGGCAGGCCUAACACAUGCAAGUCGAACGGAUGUAGCAAUACAUUAGUGGCGCACGGGAGAGUAACACGUGGGCAUCUACCUUUAGGUUCGGAAUAACGUCGGGAAACUGACGCUAAUACCGGAUAAGCCCUACGGGGGAAAGUUUUUCGCCAAAAGAUGAGCCCGCGCUAGAUUAGCUUGUUGGUGGGGUAAUGGCUCACCAAGGCUACGAUCUAUAGCUGGUCUGAGAGGAUGACCAGCCUCACUGGGACUGAGACACGGCCCAGACUCCUACGGGAGGCAGCAGUGGGGAAUAUUGGACAAUGGGGGAAACCCUGAUCCAGCCAUGCCGCGUGAAUGAUGAAGGCCUUCGGGUUGUAAAGUUCUUUUGGUAGGGACGAUGAUGACGGUACCUACAGAAUAAGCUCCGGCUAACUUCGUGCCAGCAGCCGCGGUAA
rnacentral:rRNA from 1 species